UGCCAGGGUCGAUGUGAGUUCUCUCCUU
rnacentral:piRNA from 2 species